rnacentral:ncRNA from 2 species
AACUUUCAACAACGGAUC